CAACAGAGGUUUUAUGAGGGGAAGCAAAGCAAUUCUCAACCAGACCUCUCCUAUCGAGAGUCCCAGGGUUUGCUCCCGCACAACAUCCUGAAGGCAGCAUCUUAUUCCCUGUGGUCCAGAUGGAAGAGAGAAAAGGCACGGGGUGGUGAGAGAUAUAUGUGAGUUCCUCAGGUUGGACAGAUCCACGUGGACUACAAAGGUGGAGGUCUGGCAACUCAUUGGGACACCAAAAUGGACUCCUAUGCAGCUGGAGUAACUCCACAACAGUCAAUGGAGUAGUUCUGGGAAGGAAGCUUUCCUCAUCAAGUCUGCCAGAAGACAGAAAAACAAAGGUUUGGAGCAGAGGGAGGAAACCUGCACAUGUGGUGGAGCUCAGAUUGCUGUCA